CUGCUGGUGGUGGGUGGGGAGGGGGGCUGCAAGCGAACCCUUCGCAGGGGGCGAGAGAUGCGCUCGAGCCACACAACUUGUUCAGCUCGUGCAGAAGUGUCGGCUUACAAAUCCACCGAACCGAGGCAUUAAAAGCAUCUAGGAAAACAUGCCGGUCUUCCAAAAUGUACACUUCAAAAGAGCUCCGACGUCUUCUUCGGGAAGCGCGCGCAGCCAGAGAACAGACAGACAACGAGGAACGUGCCCGAGGACGGAGGACAAGGGAGACGAAGAUGACGAGGAUGACGACGAGGACAAGGAUGAGCUCAAAACCGCAGACGGUACCAGGGUGAGAAAAAACAGCCCCCGGUCCGGUCCACACCCCAGUGACAGCGACACCCAUCGUUCAGUUUUAUUCCUUUUCAGCAGGGUUAACAAUGUCAUCUUGUUUAGCUCCAGGCUGCUGGAAAUCUGACGCUCUUAUUAACCUUUAAUGUCAUACUGGGAUUCGGCUCAUGAGCGACGCGCCGCUGGCCUUCAUUUAUCUUUAAGACGUCUCCAAGGGACUUUUCCAAAACGGUCAUCUUACACCGAGACUCCUCAUUGCUUUUUCCAACCCCUGCUCUCCUUCUUUCUAGAGGACGAGUGAGGUUCAAUUCCACCGUGUUUUACACUCCUUUGUAACUGUUUCAAACCUAACCGACACACGGGAUCUCAUGGAUGAUAUUUGUUUUUUACAAGUCAGUUCAUAUUCCUGCAGUGCUAGUAGAGCCUGACACUUGAAUUUGCUCAUCAGUCACUUUGCUUUUCCCCAAAGUGACAUAAAACUCAGAAACGAGUGAAAGAGCGCCAACAGCAAAGAGCUUUAGACACAGACAGAGGAUUACGGACACAUCUUGUGUGCCCGACACCACCAUGUUGGUGGUUCGAAUCCCUCCAGUAGCUCCUAUAGAAGUGACAUUCACAUAGCAAAUACACAGAUAAUCACAGCAGAUGAUGUUGGACUCAUUUAUGGAGCUACUGGGAGAGAAGUGGCUCUCAAAAAAUGGUUUGAGAGGCUCCUUGAACGAUGAUGGAUUCAGCAGCUGUGAGGGACAUAGGGAGUUUGUUCCUCCUUAUCGGGACCAAAACUGAGAACCAACAGGCUUUAAGUGUAUGUAGCAUGUAGCACAUGAUGCUCACCCAGCAGUAUUAAUUGUUCCUUCAACCCC
rnacentral:lncRNA from 1 species